GACGUAGGGCGCGAGCGUUGUCCGGAUUUAUUGGGCGUAAAGAGCUCGUAGGCGGCUUGUCGCGUCGACUGUGAAAUCCCGAGGCUCAACCUCGGGUCUGCAGUCGAUACGAGCAAACUAGAGUGUUGCAGGGGAGACUGGAAUUCCUGGUGUAGCGGUGAAAUGCGCAGAUAUCAGGAGGAACACCGAUGGCGAAGGCAGGUCUCUGGGCAUUAACUGACGCUGGAGGAGCGAAAGCAUGGGGAGCGAACAGG
rnacentral:rRNA from 1 species